GAUGAACGCUGGCGGCGUGCCUAAUACAUGCAAGUCGAGCGAACAGACGAGGAGCUUGCUCCUCUGACGUUAGCGGCGGACGGGUGAGUAACACGUGGAUAACCUACCUAUAAGACUGGGAUAACUUCGGGAAACCGGAGCUAAUACCGGAUAAUAUAUUGAACCGCAUGGUUCAAUAGUGAAAGACGGUUUUGCUGUCACUUAUAGAUGGAUCCGCGCCGCAUAGCUAGUUGGUAAGGUAACGGCUUACCAAGGCAACGAUGCGUAGCCGACCUGAGAGGGUGAUCGGCCACACUGGAACUGAGACACGGUCCAGACUCCUACGGGAGGCAGCAGUAGGGAAUCUUCCGCAAUGGGCGAAAGCUUGACGGAGCAACGCCGCGUGAGUGAUGAAGGUCUUCGGAUCGUAAAACUCUGUUAUUAGGGAAGAACAAAUGUGUAAGUAACUAUGCACGUCUUGACGGUACCUAAUCAGAAAGCCACGGCUAACUACGUG
rnacentral:rRNA from 1 species